AGAUGCAAAACAAAACAUCAUAAAAACAAAAAUAAAGACAUCGACACGAGUACACUCAAUAAUUCAAUCAUUUAGCAAGUUUUUUUUUCCAAAAUGGAUUUAUUUCUACUUAGCGGAAUUGCUAUUGCCCUUUUGGUGGUGCUAUUAACAUUAUUAUUUUUUGCUAAAGGAAAAGGAAAAUCUGUUGAUGGCACUGAUCCCCUAGGUCAGGAGGGGCGUGAGGCCAAUGCUCCACCCCGUCGGGCUCAGGUAGUCCGAAAUCAGAGGAAUCGUGCCCGGGUAGCCGCAGUGGCGCCUGCUGCUGCCGAUGCCGCGGAUUACGACGACGACGAUGAUGAAAUUCCUCACGCGGCGCAAGAUCUGGCAGCCGAGAAAAUGGGUGCAAAAAAGCGUGCUAAAUUGGAAGCUAAGGCGGAGAAGAAGGCUAUGCGGGAGCAGGAGAUAAAAUUGCGGGAAGACCAGAAGAAGAAAGAUGCGUUGGCGGAGGAGGAACGCAAACGGCAGGAUGAACUAGCGGCUGAGGAAGAACGGAAAAUUGAAGAAGCCGAGAGGAAAGCGCGAGAAGAAAAGGAAAGGAAGGAACAUGAAGAAUAUCUGAAGAUGAAAGAAGCCUUCAGUGUCGAAGAGGAAGGGUUUGAACAAGAGGAAGACAAUGAAAAGCAGAAUAUGCUUCAGGAAUUUAUUAACUUUGUAAAGGAAAACAAAGUGGUCGUUCUGGAAGAUUUAGCGGUGCAUUUCAAGCUUAAAACGCAAGCUGCCAUCGAUAGGAUAAUUGAGUUACAGAAGGAAGGACGUUUAAGCGGAGUCAUCGAUGAUCGAGGAAAGUUCAUCUACAUUUCCGAGGCUGAACUAAACGCUGUUGCCAAGUUUAUCAAACAACGCGGUCGGGUAUCGAUUACGGAACUGGCAGAUAACAGCAAUAGCUUGAUUAAUUUGACACCAAUUGUUGCCGAUGUUGUGGAAGCAGUAUAACAGGGAUUCGAUUUCGUCUGUUCAUUUGUCAGAUGAUCAAAACAAGCACCAAACACAAAAUCACACGAUUAUUUACCGAUAAAAUAAAGACAUAAUAGCCGCGAUUUAAUUGUUCAAUAAAUCUGGCGACGAAAAUAAGUAGUCUAUGAAAAUCGAUACCGUCGGUGCAAAAAUAGGUCGAUUUGGUAGGCAACCGAAAAGGCCUAUUGCGGGCCUGUUCAGCAGCGGUUGUAAACAAAAGUGCAGUCUCGGCAGUGUCACAUGAAAAGGCUUAUUAUGAUUACCGUGUGAAAACCAAAAAUCAAAAAAAUCAAGCAAAGAAAAAAAAUGCUUUGAUUUUUAUUGCAAAUCGGUUUACCUAUAAUAUAUAUCUGGAUAUAUAUGAGUUUCUGGCUCGCAUGAUCCCAAACGAAACGAACCUCGUAGUGCACAAGAAUUGGCAGUAAUAAUGCUGCAAGGAUUGUUUACAUUCGCUUCCGCACUGCUCAUCGGAGCAGUGACCGUCGUUGGAAUCUACUACACCGUAAACAGGAUCCUCUACGAACAAACUGACCAUCGUGCAGAGGACCAUUAUCCGCCGGCAGCAGGGAACCAUUGCCCUAAAAGUUGGGACGGUUAUGGAGACAAUUUGGAUUCAGUCAUCUGCACUAUUUGUCUAUCUUCCGUUCAAUACGGUGGUGCCACAACGAAGCUGCCCUGUGCUCAUCUGUUCCAUAGAGAAUGCGUGAAUAUAUUGCUUAAGCACUCAAAAGAGUGCCCGAAUUGUAGAAAGCCCAUUGAAGCCUGAAUUGAUUGCAUCUUACGACUAUGGGGGUGAGUGAUUAGCGAUUAGAAUUAUAUCACACCGGUAAUCUAAAUUGUAGAAAACAGCGAAGCAAUAAUUAUGACAGUUAGGUGGUAAUCAUUUGAUUUUAGUAUUGAUUAAGUUUUAUUCGUAAAAUACAUACAAAAAAUAAUGAAUAA